AUAUAUUUUAAGACAAGUGUAAUAAAAAACAAUAAAGUGCAAUGAAAUAUAUGGAUGACAUUAAUAGUACUAUACACAUUUAUUUAGAAAUAUCUAUAAAAUAUCACUAUAAUAAACCUUAUAGAAGCAAUUCACAGUAACAUAUAAGUAUUAUUCCUAAAAAAUGUUUUCGACAUGUUAUCAUGAGAUGUUUCUGUAACGUCGUGUAUUUUGGUAUCUGAAUAUGGACAUUAACUAUCUAUGUCAUGUUUCUAAGAUGUUUCCUAAUGUAUCUCCGAAACAUUUCAUGUUGCAAAAGCAUGUUUGUGAAAAGUUUUUGAUAUGUUUUUUGCAUAGUGGGAUGAUUGAAACUUGGAAUAUUGCGCACGACAUAUCAAUUAUUACCCAGGCAUUUCGCUAUUAGAUCCAAAUCUACAUUGACCAACAUUUUCGUGAACUGUGCUAAAGAAUGAUCUGUAUGGUUUCGUUGCUCGAAACCAAAUAACAAUUUAGCCGGACUUGCUUUAAUGCUCGAAUGGGUCUGCUAAUUGUCGGAACUCAAGUUCCCGCUCGAGUGGCAAUUCAUUUACAUACGCCACACUACGGCUAAGCGCAUCUACAUGAAGCAUUCGUUCUGCUGGACGCACUGCACCGAAAUCAGAGCUACACGCAUCCGUGUGCAACUGCGUCUCCGCAGCUGGAUCGUACAAACUCAACAGCGGAGAAGAUCUUGUGCAAAACGCCUUGGUGCAUACGCGUACACGGAAGAAUCUUUCAGAUAGACUUGCACGGUAUAAUCAUCAUUUACCGCGGAUUAUCAGAUUGAUUAUCGUCGACACAAAGCGGCAGAGUCGAAAACAAGUUGACCGUGCUAUUUUCGUCCUGAGCUGAAGGCUCAUAAACCAGGAUUUGAAUGACUGGAUCGCUGAGGACCAACCUUGGCUGCCCUGCCUGGACCAGCGCCACCGUCUCCGCCGGUUCCUCGUCCACGCUCGCCGCUACCUGAGCUACUGUCGCUGGUGGUUUGACCGUUGUCCUCGUGUCCCUCUGCUUUAACCACGGGCAUUCAAACUUCCGAUGCCCCUUCUUCUUACAAUAAAAACAUUGCCAAUCU